AUUAAUUUGGCAGAAUAGUGCAUUAGAUUUAGAAUCUUAGUAUGUUUAAUUAAACAGUUAAUA
rnacentral:tRNA from 1 species